CCUACGGGAGGCAGCAGUGAGGAAUAUUGGUCAAUGGGCGCGAGCCUGAACCAGCCAAGUAGCGUGAAGGAUGACUGCCCUACGGGUUGUAAACUUCUUUUAUAAAGGAAUAAAGUGAGGCACGUGUGCCUGUCUGUAGGUACUUUAUGAAUAAGGAUCGGCUAACUCCGUGCCAGCAGCCGCGGUAAUACGGAGGAUCCGAGCGUUAUCCGGAUUUAUUGGGUUUAAAGGGGGCGUAGGUGGGAUGUUAAGUCAGCUGUGAAAGUUUGCGGCUCAACCAUAAAAUUGCAAUUGAUACUGGCAGUCUUGAGUACAGUAGAGGUAGGCGGAAUUCGUAGUGUAGCGGUGAAAUGCUUAGAUAUCACGAAGAACUCCGAUUGCGAAGGCAGCUUACUAAACUGCCACUGACGUUGAUGCUCGAAAGUGUGGGUAUCGAACAGGAUUAGAUACCCCUGUAGUC
rnacentral:rRNA from 1 species